rnacentral:misc_RNA from 1 species
AUACAGGAUGUGACAGGUACGGUUUCCUCGAUAUGAGCCGGUUUUUCCCACGAGGAUCGCUCCCCGUGGCCGCGAUAUCGUUCACGGCACGAGCUGACGACAGCCAUGCACCACCUGUCAGGGGCCCUUACGGACACCGUGUCUCCACGGCUUUUCCCCUGAUGUCAAGGCCAGGUAAGGUUCUUCGCGUUGCAUCGAAUUAAACCACAUACUCCACCGCUUGUGCGGGCCCCCGUCAAUUCCUUUGAGUUUCAGUCUUGCGACCGUACUCCCCAGGCGGCGAACUUAACGCGUUAGCUUCGAUACUGCGUGCCAAAUUGCACCCAACAUCCAGUUCGCAUCGUUUAGGGCGUGGACUAC